GUGCCAGCAGCCGCGGUAAGACGAACCGUGCGAACGUUGUUCGGAUUCACUGGGCUUAAAGGGCGCGUAGGCGGGCUUUCAAGUCGGGGGUGAAAUCCCACAGCUUAACUGUGGAAGUGCCUCCGAUACUGGGAGCCUUGAGGGAGGUAGGGGUGUGUGGAACUUCCGGUGGAGCGGUGAAAUGCGUAGAUAUCGGAAGGAACGCCGGUGGCGAAAGCGACGCACUGGACCUCUUCUGACGCUGAGGCGCGAAAGCUAGGGGAGCAAACGGGAUUAGAAACCCCCGUAGUCC
rnacentral:rRNA from 1 species